GCAGCUGAAUAUUCCUCAGGCUGGGGCCCUGCUUUCUCAGUUCUUCACUUUCCUACCUGUAGGGCUGAGGGACAGUAAUUUCCAUUAUGAAACAGGCUGAGACGUAUGGCUGUAGGGCAUAGAGCCAACUGGAGUUAACUUUUAUUAAAUGGAUUCUGAAGGCCAGGAGGACCGAUGUGAUCGAUACGUCUUCUCCACAUAACCUAUUUCUGCACAAUUUUGUACUGAUCCUUUAACUCCUAUUUUAGGUCUGACAUAUUGUUUUAACCUGUGCCUUCAUCCACACUGUGGACCUCCCAAAGAAUGGAUUGGGCACUUGGUGCUGUUGAUACAAGGCUUGAUGCAAGGGUAUGUGGCUUGAGCAAAAACCCACUGCUGUUCUGUCUGCCAAGAGUUAAAUCCAUCAGCCUAAGGGAUACCCAGAUCUGUUUGCAAUAAUGGAGAGCUGCAAGAGCUUUAUUUGGACACUGGAGGAAGAAGAAAUGUGCUGGUGAGGUAUGUAGACACUGAAGGGCUUGAUGGAAGCUGAGAAAUGUUGGAAGAUUUUACUUCGAGUUUGGAAAUGAAGUUUGGAAAAUGAACAUGAAAAUGUGUUAGUUUGUUAUGGUUCUGUUGGGGAUGGAGGGAAGGUGGAGUGAUGGCUAGCUUGAGCAAUUGAUUUCGUGUAAUAGCACAUUGGAAACUUUAGUAGCAGAUACAAAAAGGAGGAGAAGGACUUCAGGGUGAGAUUCAUCUCUCUUAACUUCAGGGAUAGGAUCCAUCUCACUGAAAUGUAGGCGUAUAGAGAGUGAUUCACUGACCAAACGUAGGAGUCUGCUUUACAGUGAGACACAUUGCUUCCUGGGCUCUGCCGACCAUGUUGACUAGAUCCCCAGCGCCGGCAGUGGGAGUGCAGACUUCCAGCUCACAUGUAGACUCUUGCAUUGCACCGUCCCACACUACCUCCUACCCAGACUGGCUUGAGAGAUGGGAUUCACUUCGUCUAAUUUCAGAUAUCUCCAUGGCUCACUUCUACAUCAAGCUGGUCACCCUGGGCUCCCUGUGCAGUCAAUGGAGAGAGACAGGUAUUUUUAGGGAAUGAGUCAUGACGAUGCAGAUCUCCUCUUCCCAAAUGUUGAACAACAAAACCAAACCCCCUGUUGCUUUCUCCCCUGAUCCCAUAAUUCCUGUACACUUGUCUGUUUUUAGAAGAAGGAAAAUGAGGGCCCAUCACCUCAGUUUUGCUGUAACCUGAAGAACAGGGAUCUGCAGGCUUAACUUUGCAGUGGAAAACAUGGAAGCCGUGUUUUCUCCCACCUGCCUUUUCCCAUCAGCUCGGUUCCUCUAUGUCCAGCUCUGUGAAAACAGCCCAAGGGGUGACAUCACUGCAAACCCUUCCACGGCCCUAAUUUAGGCACCAAAAGCUGCAGCCAGAUGCAAUGUCAAACACUCAUCUGUGAUGCCCUAUUCAGCCCACUCAGAGCAUGGAGAACCUCUGGGCUCAAUCUGGUUGAUGUUGGACCCAGCCCUGUGCAGUGGCUUCCAUGAAACUUGUCUGUGUGCACCUCUGUUGUGGGCACACGUGUAUUUUCUGAGACUUGGAGCUCAUCUGGGUCCCACUCUUGCUGAAAUUAUUACUUCAACAAAGUAUUUGCCGGAGGGAAUUGUAUGGAAAAACUUAUUGUGAUUUGGGCUUUAUUUCCGUAGAGUUAUUAAUUUAGGGAAAAGCUGCUUUUACCUGUUCUCAGCUUCUAAGAUCUUGUGCCAACAGUGCUCCCAGUUGUGAGACCAAUAAAAAUGAAAACAAAACCCAUCACUUUGUAUAUCGCUUCUCUCCUUCACCCAAUUCAUAAGGUCCC